UACGUAGGGCGCAAGCGUUAUCCGGAAUUAUUGGGCGUAAAGAGCUCGUAGGCGGUUUGUCGCGUCUGCCGUGAAAGUCCGGGGCUCAACUCCGGAUCUGCGGUGGGUACGGGCAGACUAGAGUGAUGUAGGGGAGACUGGAAUUCCUGGUGUAGCGGUGAAAUGCGCAGAUAUCAGGAGGAACACCGGUGGCGAAGGCGGUGCUCUGGGCCGAUACUGACGCUGAGGUGCGAAAGCGUGGGGAGCAAACAGG
rnacentral:rRNA from 1 species